rnacentral:tRNA from 1 species
CAAGCAGGAAACUUAUAGUGUUAUGGUUUCGGCCCAUAAAUAGGUAUAUUUCAUACCCUUGCUUU